rnacentral:lncRNA from 1 species
UGUUUUUUUUCUCUACAUAUAUUAUAUUUGUUUUAGUCAUUUGGAGCUUUUUCCCGCCACUUUUGGAGAGCAUCCGGAGGAGGGCGUAUAGAGUGGGGGGACCAGCUCCUUGAAACAGCAACUGCACAAGACACAUGGCUAUGGAUUUGACAGUAGCCAUGCCGGUUGGGUGAAUGGUGACACCAUCCUCCGAGGACACACAGUGGAGUGGGGAGGUGGCAGAGCAAGUUACAGGGUAAGGAUUUUGAGUAGAGAAAAGGAAGGGAUUUCAAAAGGAGAGCUAAGGGGGGAGACCAGAGGGGGAGUUUUGGUUGCAGGGCUGUUGGGAGACUUUUGAAGAAAGAGUAGUGAGGAGUCCAACCCAUUUUGCUAAAGAAGAACGUCCUCAGGUAUGAAUAUUAUAGAUUUUUCCACUUCGUUUCAACUUAUCUGUUUUUCUUCUCUUUCUUUGUUGACUAUUGGGUGCUAUUUGUUGAAUGGGAAUAGAAGUCCAAUGCCAUAUGUGUAUCUCAGCUGAGCUUUAGAAUGGUUUGGUGGGGUUAUAGCAUGUUCAGGUUCAUUAUUUAUUUGGUUCUUAUUGAAGAUUAAUUUAGUAUUGUUUCAGAUUCCUCAUGAGAUUCCUGUAACCAUAUCUUGAUUUAAUACCCGUUUGAUUCCACUCACCCAGCUUUCCAUACCCAUCUCCACGCCAAUCCCAUCUCUCGCCACCUUUUCUUUCUCUAUGCCCGUAUAAUCACUAUCACUCACACCUCCAUGCGCGCAAGUCCUCUUCAAUUUAAUUUCCUAAAUAAUAUCCUAAUAUUAUUAUUAUCAUCAUUAUUGUUGUUAUUAUUAAAAAUCUAUCUAUAUCCUCGCAAUUUAAUUUCCUAAAGUUCAUUUCUUAUUAUUAUUAAAAAUCUAUGUUCUAGCAGUUCAAUUUCCUGAAGUUCAUUUAUUAUUAUUAUUAUCACAAUUAAUAUUAUUGUUAUUAUUAUUAUUAAAAUCUAUAUUCUCGCAGUUCAAUUUCCCAAAGUUCAUUCCUUGUUAUUAUUAUUAUUACAAAUUCAACUUUCAAAAUCUAUAUCCUUGCAGUUUAAUUCCCUAAAGUUCAUUUCUUAUUUUCUCUAUUACCGAAGCUCUAAUUUUUUAAAUAUAAUUCCAAAUACUCCAAUUUUUAAAUAAACUCCAAGAAUCCAGUUUUCACUCAAAUAGUUUUAAUCCCAUUUCAGUUCCUAAAUAAUCUUCUGAUCUUCUUGAUUUUACAUAAGCAAUAAUGAUUCCUUCAUAAUUCUAAAACACGGGAUUUAUGAGCUUAGCUCAUGAACAAUAAAUUGGGCUUUGUUGGGGGUCCUAUGUUUGAUCCCUUUUUACUGUUAAUUGUCGUGCUUAAUAUAUUUUGCUUGAGCUUCGUUUUGCACUCCGAUAUGCAUGGGUUAUACUUUGUAUUCAUUAAUUGUGCACUAAUCUCGUUUCUUGAUAGCGCAUUGUGGCUUAUGGCCGAGGUACCCAUCCACUCUCAUUCUAGUCAAUCUUUAUUGCGUGUUUUGAUUCUCAUAUUAUGCAUGAUUUAGGUGAGUAUUCAUUGACUUUCUCGUUGAUCGCCGCGUCAGCUUCAUUUUAUUAUUAGAGACCCGUUUUUAGGGACUUAGGGGUGCUACGGUCUCUACCAUACCUUCCCGAACUCGAUCCAGUUUUUCACAUACCACCUUUUCUGAAACAAGGAGUCACACUUAGGGUUUUUCUUUCUUAUUUUGUUUACCCUUUAAAAAUAAAAUAAAAAUAAGUGACGACUCCAAUCUUUUUUCUAAAAAUCAAAUUUUAUCAAAUAAAACAAAAAGCGAGUUUCGCCAUCGAGUGGGAAACGCAUGAGCUGAAAUGCGGGGUCCACAAAUACUUUUUUGUAAGUAAAUUUGUAAAAAUCUUUUAGUAAAUAAAAAAUGAUAAUUGAAUAUCAUUUGUAAACAAAUUUGUAGAAAUUAUUUUCUAAAUAAAAGUUGAAAAAUCAUUCUUUAAAAUUUAAUCAAAGUACUUUCUUUUUAAUAAUAAAAAGAAAAUUUAACAAAUUUAACUCUAUGUGUAAUGUUAAAAAAAUCCAACAAAAUAAUAACGAGAAAAUUGACGAAAAAAUGAAAUAUAAGUUUAAAAUUGGCAAGCCAAAAACCAAAGGAGAAAUCAUAAUUCUAUCAAAUUUCCCAUAGCGAGAUUUAAGGGUCAUGCCACGUCAUAAGAUUCAAUCAAAUAAGAAGAUAAUAUAUUAUUAUUGUCUUUUUUUUAACAUAAAUAUCCAAUACGAAAAAAGGCCCUAAUUACAAUCAUCUUUCCCUAAAAAACUCAAACCCUAGGUACGUUAUUAUUAAAUCCUAGGUACAUUAUUAUUAAAUAUUUCACUCUAAUCGAUAAACACCCUUGUAACAAUACCCUUUUCCAAUAAAAAUGUUAUUUUUUAUGAGAAAAAAUUUGUCAAAAUCGAACAAAACCCUAAUACCUGUUUUUCCUAAUGAUGAAACUGAUAUUAGAUUGAGACUUAUGUUUGGAACAUAAAGAACAUCAUUCAGGACAAGGAUGUUGUUUGAGGCAAGUUUAAGAACGACUUGCCCUUUACCAAUCACAGGCAAUGGCCUCAAAUCUCCCACCAAUACCAUUCGAUGCUCACCUUCUUCUAUUGGAGUAAAGUAGUUGAAUGCUCUUAUAUUGCCACAUAUAUGUACAGAAGCUCCAGAAUCAAUUAUCCAAUCGUUCAGAUAAGUAAUCAUCUUCAUGCUAUAAGAGAAUGAGACUUAGAAUCCAUUUAGCAAUACUUUUACAAAACACUUGUAGCAUAAAACGAAUAACAACUUAUUAAAUACCACCUUUAUUUUUAUACUAAAAAUAACUUAAUAACAAAUCUUAGAAAUAAGUAUGGAAAUAUGGCCCAAACAAGCCUUACCACUAAGAAAAGUAAUAUUUAUUCAAUAAAUAUAGGAAUAAACGAGGAAAUGAAUGAGACCUCUAUUUUUAUUCCUCAUUCACGCAUGUAUUUAACAUGACCUUAAUUGAAUUCUUUUUCUUCAAAAUUUAGUUGCAAACACUUAUCGAAAAAUAUUUUAUCUUAAAAAAAUUUUAAAUUUGAUGCAAUAAAAAUAUAUUAAUUUUAAAAAAUUCUUAUAUUUUAGAUAGGAGUUAUUAUUACCUUCUGUUCUCAAAGAGAGAACAAGCUUGAAAAUGGACAUCAAAAUUUUUUACUUAUUGUUUUAUACCACAUAAAAAUUCAAUGCCUUAAAACCCAAAAAAAGCAACAGACAGAGAUCUGUGAAGAGACCCUUACUUGGAAUUAUUGGAUGAGCUGCGAUUUCCCCCUUCAAUCCAGCAGCUUCCCAUCCCCAUAUCCUCUGCUCCGGACCUGCAAUCAGGACAGGAGAACCCCUGGGGAUCAAUGGUACUCAGGCUCGGCAACUUGUCAAGACCAAGCGGCUCUUCCACACUUGACAUCGUGGCAGAAGAUACAAGGGAAACUGGAAAAAAUACACAACAAAAGUAAGUCCUCUCCGUGACUGCUUAUCUAAGAUUUCUUAUCCUUAUUUUAUUAUUAUUAUUUGGUGAUGACUAAACUAGGGAUAUUACAAUGGCAAACUCAAUGAGAAGAUUUCAGAAAAUAAUGACAUCACUGUAUAUAAAGAGAUGAACCAAAAAUUAAAAAAUCUCAUUGCCACAGUGCAUUGGAUGUUCAUAUCAUAAAUAUGCAUAUCAAGCACAGUUUCAAGACCAAAAAAAGAGAAUGUUUCAGUUGCAUUGUUGCGUAACUAGGAAUUCUAUACUCCAACGCAUCCAUCAAUGCUACCAAAUAGUUCAGGGAAGAAAACAAGUACACGUUCUAAGCAACUAUGAAAGAUACAAUAGAAAUUAAAGCUUCAACCAAAUCAGGAAUACAAAAACUCUACAAACUGUGCCAUAAUUGAACACAACCCAAAUCAAUCAUCAAACAAACAUCAACACGAUCACAACUCAAACACUCCACCUAACACACCGUUUCGGUUGUACAGAGAAAACCCAGAUGAAAAAACAAGAAAAGUUCCAAACUUGAACUCCCCUUGUUUGUUGUCUUUUUACUGAGUUUUCUCGGCAACCAAACAGGGGGAAAAGAAAGAGAGAGAGAAAGAGAAAGAAACCUGAAAAGGAAGAAAGGCGGAGGACGGAAGGUAGGGUUUCUUGGAGAAUUUAUUGGCGUAAGGGGUUGGCUGAGGAAGGGGAGAGGGGAGGAAAAUUUAGAAAAAAAUAAAUAAAUUAAAUUUUAAAAAGAUAGUUUUGCCAACCCGCCAUAAGUGGCGGCGCCAGUACAGGCCUAGGUGGAUAAUUAGGAAACGAUCCACACAUUGUGGGAUUUCUUUUUAAUCAUAAAAAUAAAAAAUAAAAAAUAAAAUAAAAAGCGUGUUUAUUUGAAAUUCUUUUUACACCUGAUUUGGAACACCAUUCAACUUUUGCAUAAGAGUAUAGUAAAAUAGACAAUAGCCGGAUUGGAAAUUUAUGAAGGUAGAUUAAUUUAAGAUGAAAAUAGGAAAAUUUAAAAAAAUUCAAUUGAAUAGAAAAAAAAUGAAUGAAAAAUCAGUAAAAGAAAAGAAAUUUUAGAUUUUUUUAAUAAAUAAAUAAAUCGAGGCUUUAGAUUGGAAAAAGAAUAAUAACAAUAAUAAUAAUAAUAAUCAGAAUAAGAAUUGCAAGGUUUCUAGAUUUUACAAUUUGAGGUAGUAUGUUAGGACGACAAUUUUGAAAAAAAAAAGGAAGAAGAAGAAAAGAGGAAUGAAUACAUGCAACGGGAGAUUGUUGAGUAAAAAAAAAGGAAAAAAAGAAAUCAAUCUGUAAAGGUGAGGAAUAAAUUUUCAAGCUAAAUUCUUCAAGAUUUUGAGUGUUUUUUCAAGGUAAAAUAAAUCAAGGUAGAUUUUGUAAAAUGAAUUUUUUUUUUAUAUUGUAUUUUGAAAUAUGUAAAAAUAUUAUUUUUAUUUCUACCCAUGGAUCAAAUAUAUUUUUAAAUGAAAACUAUGAAGAUAUAAUAUUUUAUUUUGUAAGUUUGAAUUAAUGAAAUAAAGUGUUUGACUUUGGUUUCUAUGACCUUAGUCAAUGAGUUAUAAUUAUUGACAUUUCUAUCGCUAUAAUCUACUAAUUAUAAUUAUUAACAUUUGGUUUUGUUUGACUUAAAUGGAAUAAAUUUGAAAUUAGCCACUCAUUUGUGGACUCCUACUUAAUUGUCCUACUUAAUUGGACAUUAUUUGUUAUUUCGAUAACUAAAGUAAUGAUAUUUUGAAUGUAUUUGAUUUGAUCUUGAUAUGAAAUUGUUUUAAAAUAGAUAUGAAAAAGUUUUUUUUUGUUGAAAAGUUUUGAAUAUAUUAGCAUGUUUAACUCACAAUUUUUUAUGUAUUUGGACAAUAACAUUGGGGUUGAUGGGUUAAUUUUUUAAAGUUGAGAAUUAAAGAUCAUAGAAUUUAUUUAUUUUACUAAUUUCAACAGGAAUUUGGGAAUUUGUAAUUCCAAUUAGAAGAUAAAUGUUUAUGUCACUUUGAGCCUCAUGUUUGAGGUGUGAAAUGACCGCGGAUGAAGGAAAAUUUCAACUUUAUUUGGUUUUUUAUUGAACAAAAUCGGAAGAAAAAGAUAUCCUCAAAUUUGGGGAAAAUUCAUGCAACCAACAAAUUGGUGAGAAAAUCUGGGAGAAGACUGGAUGAAAAUUUUUCUGGGUUCAAAUUUGUAUUUUAUUUUUUUCCUUUUAUUUUUGCCACUUAGUUUUUCCCUUGUGCUUCGCAUUCAUUUCCUUUAUAGUUUCCAGAGAACCAAACAACCUGUGAUUAUUGUUAUGAUCACUAUUUUGGGUAUACAAUAAUUUGAAGUAACUGUAAGCCAAUGACCUAUUGUUACUGUUGCAGUCAUUUUAUUGGUACAGAACUAUCUAAAGGAAACUGUUAAUCAGGGUAUUGGGUCUAGGGCUUUGCGUACUAAAAUUUCAGAAUUAGUUGGGAUAUUGCUUGGUUUAGUGAUAGUUGAAAUGUUAUUUUUCUUGUUCAAAAUUUUUCAUAAUGUAUGUUUGCAGAAUUCAAUGGGAAUUGUUUUUGUUUAGGGUUUGGGGUUUCGGGUAUUUUUACUUUGCAAAUAAUAUUUUUGAAAACUAUGGAGGGAAUAUCAAUAUACUUGUUUACCCAAAUUUAACAGACUCUUUUUUUUUUUAAUUUUCUUUUAUUAAGAUAAAUAGAAAAAAAGGAUGAAAAGUAAAUGUCUAAGGUUGAGGCUAAUAUAUUUUUAAAAUAUUGUGAAAUUGAAAUCAAAAUUUAACACUAUGUCUAAUUUUUUAAAUCUUAUAUUUUGUAGAAAAAUUGUGAGGAUUAAGUCUUUAUUUUUAAUUUAAAGCAAGUAAAGUUUGUUUCAAUUUAAAGUGCUUUUAUAUUUUCUCCCAUUAAAAAUUAAACUUCCACCAAGAAAUUUAAUGAUUUAAAAACAAAAACAAAAACAAAAACCAUAAUUUUAAUAAAUUUUCUCAUUAUUUGAGGUAUCAUACAAAGAUGAAGAAUAUUGAGAUUUAAAGGGUCCUACUUUAUCAUGCCAUAUCACAACAAUCAAUCAAAUAAGAAGAUAAUAAAUUAUUAAAUAUUCAAUACGCAAAAGGCCCUAAUUACAAUCACUCUUUCCUCAAAAACUCAAAUAACUCUAGGUAUAUUAUUAUUAAAUAUUUCAUGACACUCUAAUAAGUAAAUACCCUCGUAACAAUACCCUUUCCCCAUAAAAAUGUUAUUUUUUAUAAGAAAAAUCUUGUCAAAUGCCAACAAAACCCUAAUACCUAUUUUUCCUAAUGAAGAAACUGAUAUUACAUUGGGACUUACGUUUGGAAUAUAAAAAACAUCAUCGAGGAUAAGGAUGUUGUUCGAGGCAAGUUUAAGAAUGACUUGCCCUUUACCAAUCACAGACAAAGGAUUCAAGUUUCCCCCGAUUAAUUCUAUCUUCAUACCUUUCUCCAUAGGAGUAUAGUAGUUGAAUGCUCUUAUAUCUCCGCAAAUAUGUAUAGAAGCUCCAGAAUCAACCAUCCAAUUAUUUAGAGAAGUCACCAUCUUCGUGCUACAAGAGUAUCUACUAGAAAAGAGAAGAAAGAUAUCAGUAACUGCUAUACAAAUUUAUGAUAUUGAAGAAAAGAGAAAAAGUGCAUUGAAUGUAAAGGCAUGGUUCAUGCUCAUUUUUAUAAUGCCAUUAUUCGAGUUGAACUAGAAUUUAAUUAUAAUCCUACUUUGUCUCAAUUUUGAAGUCGAAUUUGCAUAAUAUUCUUCUUAUAAAGAAACCUUUUAUUUUGUCAUUUUAUCACUUCAAAAACCUUACCUUAUUUUAUUUACAUUAUCCUUAGGAGUAGUAAUUUUAAAGAUAAUGAUAGAGUCCGAUAUUUGAAGUUGUUCAAUCAAAUUGGAGCACUUGGCAUUCCUAAUUGUAUAAUAUGUCACAAAAUUAUUUGAUUUUUAGUAUUAAUAUUUAAUGGGUAGCUCGUAAAAUUAAAUUUUAAUUUGGAAACUUUUUAAAAAUAAAUUUUAUAUAUAGUAUUAUUUUUAAUUAUUUUUCAUAUUUAUCUCGUUCUUUUUUUAAAUGAGUCAUUAAAAAAUAAAUGAAAAUAAUUAAAAUAAAGUAAAAUAUAUAUAUUUAAAAAUAUCGUGUUUUUUAUUUUUAAGAAUAGAAAACUGAGACUAUUUGUUAAUUGUUAUAAAAAAUAAACACAUGAGAAUUAGAAAAUAAAAGAUUGAUUUUUAAAAGAGUUAACAAAUAGACCCUAAAAGUCUAUUUAAUAAUAAUUUUAAAGAAGGUUAAAUGUGUUUUUUCAUUCUUAUAAAAAUUCUAUAUUUGAUAAUUUUUUAGAAAUUAUUUUUAAAAAUAUGAAAAAUCACUAUCCAAAAUUGCUUUUUCAUUAUAUAAUAUAUUAAUAAAAAAAAAAACUAUCAAAACACAUUUUUAGUUUAUAUCUUACCAAAGGUCGAUUCUUUUUUAAAAGUGUUUAUAAUGGAGGUAUUAUAAAUAAAAACAUAUAAAUCACUUUCAAAACCGACUAUACAACUUUUUUUUUUUAAAAAUAUCUAAUUACUUGAAAAAUUAUUAUCUACCUUAGUCUAAUAGUUUGAAUGUUUUAAUAUUCUUGUCUUCAAAUGUUUAAGUGUUAGGUUAUUGAUAAAAAAGAAGUAUUUAAAUAUACAAAUAUAUGAAGUAAAGAUAGAAAGUUGUUACAGAUGAUAUUAGAAUCAAUUAUUGAUCUUAAUAUGAUAACAAGGUUUUAAAAACCGAUCUUAAUAUGAUAAGAAGGUUUUAAAAACCGAACCGACCGACCACAAAUUGACGAAAUACAACCAACAGUUUCAAAUAAGUGAAGUGUAAAUUAAGCUCCUCCCCCCACUGCCACAUCUGUCAACAAACCAAGUUUUCUUUCGUGGUGUCUUAAAGCUGCAUGCUGUUAACAACAAAGAGAGAAGAACAGGUAACACCAAUCCAAUUCCUUUGGUUCCACCAGUCACAAGAGCAGUCGUUCCCUUGAGAGACCAUCUACUAUCUCCAGAGCUGCACCCACAUGUCUGAGUCAUGCCUCCUCCUAUCCUCUCCCACUCCUUAUUUUUACAAUAAUGUUAAUAUCACUGUAUUUGGAAUAAUCUCAUUUUGCUAUAUUUAUAAAAGUAUCAUCUUACUAUUCUAUUUUAAUUUAUUUUUUAAUAUUAAAUAUUAGUAACAAAGACCCAGAUAAUAAUCUCAUUAAUCCUAUUUAAAAUUUUAAAAUCUGUGUUGAUUUUAAUCAUCUCAUAAUUUUCAAGAGAAUCAAAUUUUAAAAUAAUGUUUUUUAAUUUUUUUUAAAAAUAUUUUGAUAAAUCAAUAAUUUCAAUCAAUUAAAAUUAUUUUUUUUACAAAAAAAAAAAUAUUUUAGUAAUAUUUAAUUAUGUUUUUAAUAUUUUCUAUUCGAAAUUUGAAAUUUUGGAUGAAAAAGGCUUGCUUCUGUUAUUAUGUAGUUUAGUAUUUUAGAUGAAAAUAUUAAUUUUUAUUCUUAUCUAUCUAUAUAUAAAUAUAUAUAAUGUAAAUUUAAUAUAUUUUUUUAAUAAUGAUCAUAAUGUUCUUAGAAAUAUGUUCUUAGAAUAGUCAUGUAUGGAAAGCAAAUAUCCCAAUUUUUUUUUAAGAACAGGAAAUCGAUGAAUUUUUUUAAUAAAAAAAACAUGUUUGAUAAUUAGAAAAGAUGUUUGAAAAACAGAAAAUAAAAAAAAAUAACUUAACAAACAAACCUUAAAAAUCUAUUUAGCAGAAAUUUUGAAAAAAAUAAAAGAAAAACGGAAAAACUAAAUGUGUUUUUGCUUUCUUAUGUAUUUGAUAAAAUUUUAAAAAUCAUUUUUAAAAAUUUGAAAAAUCAUAAUUUAAAAUCACUUUUUAUGAUAUAAUAAAUUAAAUCAAAACACCAUAUCUAAUCAAUAAAAGAUUGUUCUUUUAAAAGUGUUUAUAAUGGAAAUAUUAUCAAUAAAAACACUCUCAUUACUCCAAUAUGGACUACAUUUAAAAAAAAAUAAAAUUAAUUACUUGAUAAAUUAUUAUUAGAAUGUGAAGUCUGAAUCAGUUUUAUUAUGGAGUCGAAUUGUCUUACUUUGUCUGUCCCUUUUUAUGUUCCGAUUUUUUUUCAUAUAUUGCUAGAUCGAACUGCCCAAAUUUGUCUUGGAAUCGAAUUGUCUUACUUUGCCUCUCCCUUUUAUGUUUCAAUUUUUUUCAUAUAUUGCUAGGUCGAACUGCCCAGAUUUACUUGUUCUUUUUAUGUUUAGGGUUUUAAUUUUUUCAUGCAUGUCCCUAUUAUAUAUUUAAUAGGUUCCAAUUUUUUUAUAAAGUAUAGUCGCAAUUGAGAGUUUUUUUUAAGAACUUUUAUUAUUAUAACUUUUCUCAUUUAUUUUAAUUAAUAAUUAUUGAGUAUUGGUGCACUUCAUGGAAGUAGAGCUCACAUUGAUUCUCAAACCACAUUAAAAAUCUUGUCUUUUUUAUUUUUUAUUUAUUUGUGUGGUUUGGAUAACAAUUAUUAUCUACAUACUAAUAGUUUAAAUAUUUAAAAAAUUAUUAUAUUUCAAUCUUUCAAGUUUCGAAUGUUUCUUAAAACCCUAAAUUUUAGGUUUCAAAUCUUUCUUAAAACUCAAAAAUUUUAAGCUAAGUUUGUUGACUUCAAUUCACGUGUAAGGCAUUUUUACCUAAAAUUAACAAACUUUUUUCUAUUUUCUAUUUUUCUAUUUUUUUUAACCAUAAAAUAAACAAAUUUUCUUUUAUAUAUAUAUUUUUAAAACAAAUAUUAAAAUUGUUUUUAUAACAGAGGACCAAGCCCGAAGACUCCAUUUGAAUAAUAAAAGGAUUUGAGAGAAAUUGGACCAAAAGUAAAAUAUUAGUUUAAAAUUGGAAUGUGAUUAAAAGCUAUUUAAUAAAGAGAAAAAUAGAAAAGGAUGAAAAAUAAAUGUCUAAGGUUGAGGCUAAUAUAUUUUUUUUUAAAUAUUGUGAAAUUGAAAUCAAAAUUUAACACUAUGUUUAAGUUUUUAAAUCUCAUAUUUUCCAGAAAAAAAAUUGGGUGGAUUAAGUUUCAAAGCACAAGAAGAUCUAGAAUUUUAUUUUUAAUUUAAAGCAAGUAAGGUUUGUUUCAAUUUAACAUGUUGUCAUAUUUUCUCUUGUUAAAGAUUGAAAUUCCACCAAGAAACUUAAAUGAUAAAAAAAUAAAAAGAAAUCAUAAUGAGAUUUAAAGGGUCCUACUUUAUCAAAUAUGAAAUAGACUCUAAUUACAAUAGCCCUCCCAUCAAAACUCAAAUAGCCCUAGCUAUAUUACUAGUAAAUAUUUCGCGACACUCUAAUACAUAAACACCCUGGUGACAAUGCCCUUUCCCCAUAAAAAUGUUAUUUUUCAUGAGAAAAGCCUUGUCAAAGUCAAACAAAACCUCGAUACCUAUUUUUCCUAAUAGGGAAACUGAUAGAAGAUUGCGGCCUAUGUUUGGAACAUAGAAAACAUCAUUCAGGAUAAUGAUGUUGUUCGAGGUAAGUUUAAGAAUGACUUGUCCUUUGCCAACUACAGACAAGGGUGUUGAAUCUCCCACCAGUACUACUUCAUUCCUCCCUUCCUCCAUAGGAGUAUAGUAGUUGAAUGCUCUUAUAUUGCCGCAUACAUGCAUAGAAGCUCCAGAAUCAACUAUCCAAUUAUCUAUAAAAGUCACCAUCUUCACUCUAUGAGAAUAUCUACCAAAAAAAGAGAGGAAGAUAUGAGUAUUUACAAGUCGAACUUAUGAUACCAAAGAAAAGAGAAGAAAUGUGUUGAAUCUAAAGGUAUAGUUCAUGCCCAUUUUUAUAGGGCCUUUCUUCAAGUUGAAGAGGAAUUUAAUUGUAAUCCUACUCCAUUUCAAUUUUGAAAAUGAAUUUGCAAAAUAUUCUUAACCUUUUAUUUUAUCAUUUUAUCACUUCAAAACCUUAUCUUAUUUUAUUUGCAUUAUCCUUAGCACUAUUAAUUUUAAAAAUAAUUAUAGAGUUUAAUAUUUGAAGAUGUUUGAUCAAAAUGGGGCACUUGGCAUUCCUAAACAUAUAAUAUGUCACGAAACUUCUUAUUGUAAUCCUAACAAAAUCAAAAUUUUUAGUACUAUGAAGAUUAAUUGAUUUUUUUAAUGAAAUAAUUUAAUAAUAAAAAACAUCUAUAUGACCCUCUUUCCUAUUAUGAAGAGACUAUUGAUUCAAAAGGAAAAUACUUUUUUUUCCUUUAAAUAACUAUUAGUAUUUAACAAGUAGCAUGUAAAAUUAAAUAUUAAUUUAGAAAUGUUUUAUAAAAUAAAUUUUGAUAUUAGAAAACAAGUGAAAAUAAAAUAAAAUAAAAUAAAAUAUUUAAGAAUAGAAAAUAGAGGCUAUUUGUUAAUAAUUAUUUUCCAAAACGGAAAUAUGACAAUUAGAAAAUAGAAGAUUAUUUUUAAGAAGAGUUAACAAAUCAUACCUUUAAUAAGAGUCUAUUUAACUGUAAUUUUGAAAAAUGUUGAAUCUAGUUCGGUAUUUUUAUAAAAAUUAUGUAUGUGAUAAUUUUUAAAAAAACGAAAAAUUGCCAUCCAAAAUUACUUUUUCAUUAUAUAAUAUACUAAAAGGAUACUAUCAAAACAUAUUUUUAGUUUAUAUCCUACCAACAUACUAUUAUUUUUACAAUGGAUGCAUUCUAAAUAAAAAUAUAUUAAUCACUUUCAAAACGGACUCUUUUUACAAGUUUUAAAAAAAAUAUCUAAUUACUUGAAAUUUUAUUAUCUGUCAAGAUGUGUAAGAAGUGAAACUUAAAUUGUUUCACCAUACUAAUAUUUUUCUAUUUUCUGUUUUGGAAGGCAAACGGAGAGAAAACCCUGAUAAUGGGGUUGGACCUCUGAGGCCCGCACCCAUCUCAAAAUCAGAGUAAAAUCCUUGAGGAUUGAGCCAACAGAAGCCUAAAAGGAUGGAGAGGGAAGGAGGAGGAGAAGAUGAUAUUGUGUGCUUGGAUGGGUCCUUUUUCAUCAAUGACGAGUAAUUAUGUCUUUCCUUCUCUGCCUAGCAAACUAUCCCUCUCUCUCUCAACAUUGUUUGUUGAAAUUAUUGGCUGUUUCAUAUAUGCAGUUACCAGCUCACCAAAUUCACAUUUGGGUCUCAAGUUCUUGAGCUCUUUUGUCUCCACUCUGCUUCAAGUCAGUUUCAACCCAAACCCAUACCCAUACAUGCUUCCGAUAACUGUCUGUGAUGUUGAAUUCUCUGAUGAUUUUUAUUUUUUUUAAUUUUAACUUUAGUUUAUUUUUGGAUUUGCAAUGUGUGUUUUGGAAAAUAAAUUGAAGCUGUGUUUGGUUGUGGAACUGGAAUUGGAUUUGGAAUUGAUUUAGAAUUUGUAUUCUGUGGGGGUUCUGAAAUCUUGGUUUGACUGUAGAUUUGUCUUUGUGGGUUUGGGUUAGAAUCUUUUAGUAUGUAAAGCAAUAAACAGUUCAAUUUCAAUUUUUCGAGGCCCCAGUUGUUUACAACCAAACAUGAACUAGGACAAUAUAAAAAAUAAAGUUACAAUAUUAUUUUAAAAAUCACAAAAAUAAUUGAGAUGUAUGGUUGGCUCUCAAAUGGGUUAAAUUUACAUGCAACUUGCAAGAUAUUAGUGUGAUUUUAUAUUUCUAACCAAAGUGUAUGAUGUUUGCAAUUUCGUAUUUGCUACUAGAAAAUUUUGUUUUCAUUCUAUAUGGUUUUUUGUCACAAAGAGUGAUAGUGAUUUAAUCUAGUACCAAAGUUGAUAUAAGUCAAAGAACUGAGGAAGAGAGAAUUUCCAUGAACAAGAACACAUUUGAUCUCAGGCUCCCGUGGAGUAAAGUGGCUGGGCAUUCAGCAUUCUUGAUAUCUGAAAUAAACGUUUGGAUGGUUCACAUGUUUAAUUACAAUUAUGUGCCUCAUUUGUCACUAUAUUCUUGAUUGGAAGCAUACUAUUCAUUCUCCAUCUGACAAGUACGAAGUGAUCAUAUACAGUUAUAGGUUGAGGUGACUGAACUUCUUGCAUGGUUGUCUCUGCUGACCUAUUCUUCCUCCCUUCUCAUGGGAAAAAAAUCUGGAGUAUUUGAUGAGAGGAUAACCAAACUAUGAUUGACAGUUGGAAACCAUGCCCAUGUUAUGGGUGAUGGUGUUGUCAUUGUAGUUGUUUUUUUUUUUUUUUUUUCAAUUUUUUAUUAUUUGUAUUUGUGAACUCUCUGGAAUUGAAUUUCCAUACAUCCUGGAAGUUGAAUACUUUGUGUUAGCUUUUAGUAACUUUAAGGCUGUUACAAUACGCACAUUGUAAACUAACAAUUUGUGGGGACAGCUGAUUUUGAUUUGACGGGACAAUUGGUAUGGCCUGGUGCCAUGUUGUUGAAUGAUUAUCUUUCAAAGAAUGCUGAGAUUCUCCGAGGAUGUUCUGUUAUUGAGUUAGGCUCUGGUGUUGGUAAGUGAAUAUCUCCUUGCUUUUUCUUGUGUCCUUUUGGGGCUUGUUGAUCAUUUUUUGUCAAUAAAACACUUGCAUGAAAAGGAAGCAGCAGAGUCAAAGCACACAAAAAGUAUUCAAGGCUAUCUGCUAUAGGAAUCAAAUGCUUCAACAAUACAUCUCACACCAAAUAUCAAGAAAAUAACCCAUAAGAACUUCCUAAUGUCAGCGAUCUCCCUGGACUUGCUUUUUGAGAGCUCUUUCCUUUAUAGUCGUUGUAUCUAACUUCUUACAAACAUAACAAAGGGAGCAAUAUAAAGUAGUUUUCAACUCAAACUAGACAGGUUGGAGCCCCUGGAAGUAUCAACUUGACAAAAGAUCUUGAACAUUUUUUUAAUUUUUAAUUUUUUAAUUUAGUUAUAUAUAUAUAUAUAUAUUUUUUUUUUAAUUUCUUUCUUUCACUUUGUUGCAUCCUAUGAUGGAUGGUUCCUUCCUCCAUAAGAAAAUUUGAAGUUGGUGUCUAUUCUAAAAUUUCUUUUGUUCUCUGUUUUGGGCCUUUUUUUUUGGGUUUUUUUGUUUUGAUAACAGGGAAUCUGCCAUGACAUUAAUUUCUUUCUUUCACUUUGUUGCAUCCUACGAUGGAUGGUUCCUUCCUCCAUAAGAAAAUUUGAAGGAGGUGUCUAUUCUAAAAUUUCUUUUGUUUUCUGUUUUGGGCUUUUUUUAUUUUGAUAACAGGGAAUCCGCCAUGACAGUAAGGCAUCUGUCUCAACUAUUUGUGAAGAAAAACAUGAGUGAUAUGGGCCCCUUCAUAUACCCUACACUAAAAUACAGGAGAGGCUCAAACUCAGGGUCUGCUGGUUCAUUGCCAUAGGUCACUACCACUAAGCUACACACUCAGGGACUGAAAUUCCAUUUUGUUGUGGACAACUCCGUUGGGUAGGAUUCUUGUAGUGGAUUAGACAAAUUGUAAAGGCCGUUGUUUUUGUUGACAGAUGAUUUAUUUGUCUCAAAAGUGC